GGAAAACUUGACAAAAGCUACUUCACAUGCCAGUACGCUCCACUUACAUUCAAGUCUAACAAACAAAUAAGGUUGCCCUCAUCUCUAUAAGGUGCAUAUGCGGGUGUGUUGCCUCGGUUGAAUUAUCCUUAGAAACUAAGAGUCCCAAAUAUCAAACAAUAAACUCUGUUAACAGGAAAUGCAGUCGGUAGUAAGUUCACUUAGUAUAUGGUUGUCGACCUAGAUUUUCCAAAAUGGUUUGAACCGAUGCAUUUCCCUUGCAAACUAUGCAGACAGAAGAUCAAAUUUGAAAAAUUAAAUAAUUGUUUUUCUGGAAAGGAGAGGUGCAACAAGAGAUCAGUUAAAUUGCAUAAUAAAGACCACCAUUUUGACAUAUCAUGUAAUUCCAUCCUAGACACAAAUCUCGCGACCAGUCUGUCAUGCAUUCCUAAAACAGUAUGCCUCUUCAGCGGUCACAGGUGCACGGCUGGGAACUUUCCCCGAGCGUUUUGUCUGCAAGAGAUGUUCAGAUUACUUCAUCUGUGAAUAGACGGCACACCCAGCUAGUAUUUAAGAACAAAACAAUAAAAUGCCGUUGAAUUCCCAUCAUGUAGAAUAAGGCACUGCCUCCAUGAAACCUGCAAUGACAAGAGCAUGUAAGUUUUCUCGGCGUGGUAUUUGUAAUCCACAUGCCCUAACUACCAAGUUCUCAACUAAGAAUAUAUAUAUAUAUAUAUAUAUAUAUAUAUAUAUAUAUAUAUAUAUAUNNNNNNNNNNNNNNNNNNNNNNNNNNNNNNNNNNNNNNNNNNNNNNNNNNNNNNNNNNNNNNNNNNNNNNNNNNNNNNNNNNNNNNNNNNNNNNNNNNNNNNNNNNNNNNNNNNNNNNNNNNNNNNNNNNNNNNNNNNNNNNNNNNNNNNNNNNNNNNUUUUCCCUCUGUUUCGUCUACAUGUCGUGGCACAAAAUAUUGUUGCUACUACACAAGCUGAUGAAAAUAGUGUGUACAGAACCCGCGGACAAAGUUGCUCCAUGUGAAAUUCAACACGUGAAAUCCACCCGAGAUGUCGGUCUCUAGGGGUUUCAGUUUGGUUCUGGUGCCAGCCUUCCCCUCCAUUUUGUUUCUUUCUUCUAGUUUUGGGCUUUCUCUUGCUCUCCCCUGUAAUUUUCUUUUGCGCCUUUGGGCGCUUACUUGUAUCUGUACUGACUGCCAAGUCACCUUCGAGUUGGAAUAUAACAAGCGGUGGGUUUUUUUGGGCCCCCGUCAAUCUCGAAAAAAAAAACCAAAAAAAUCUACUGAAACCAUAUGCAUAGAUUAUAGUAGUUAUGGUAGCUCAUUUCAUGUCCAACAAAAAUUCAUAUGUGUUCUCUAAAAUAAAAACAUAGGUCUUAAAUAUAAACACAAAGAAAUAGUGUUUUCUUUAAAAGAAAAGGUGUAGAGAAUGAACUAUAUACACUGAAUAGUCAUUACAUGAAUCAGAAGUAGAAGCGGUACUUUAGGACAAAAAACAUAUAUUGUACAACUGGUUCUAUCUGUAUGUAACCAUGCGAAAUUAAGCUCAAUAUACCUCGUUUUCCGCUGAAGUCAAGAUCUAUUGCAGAUCAAUGCGAGCAGCUUCAAUGUCGAACCUUCCAUAUAGAAUGCAGGCCCUUGUCUAUACAAUUGCAGUCAGAGUUGAUUGCAAUAUUGACGCGUAUGUCAUGAGCAGCAAAAUCAUAUGCUCCUGGGUUCUAGCACUUGCCCAACUGAUAUAGUUCAAGCAGGAAAAAAUAUUCAGUAAACCAAAAUGGAAACCUUUUAGAAAGUAGAGGGGCUCGGUGUUAAGCAAUGGUUUCAGGUAACUAUCGGGUUCAACCAGUACUAUGCUACCUUCUAAUAAACAUGGAAGAUGAUUAAGGUCUCAAUGAGAUAUAAUGAACUGUAGUGUGGUCAGCAGCAAGAGGAACAUUUAAACAUUCAAUGUGCCCAUUGCAAGUGCUCCAAUAAAUGCAAUAAGCAGAACUCAAAUAAAGCAACAUCUCUAGGACUGUAUUCUGGAAAAUAUAAAUAGAAGACCAGGUAAACUUUGCAACAGUCAAUAUACCUUUUAAGAAGAAUCAAUCGGCUAUCAUAAUAUUUUGACGGGCUACGACUAUCAUAUUCAGCAACCAAAAUGAUACAAUAUAUAUCAUAGGAAAAAAAAUUACUAAGUGCAGGUGGCAAGAAAAAGAGAGAUAUGAGUGGUCAAACUCUCCUGGAAGCAAAGAGAUCUUGACUUACAAACUCAAGGCACAUAGCAGCAUACCGAAAUUUCUAGCUAGUUGUACUUGCAGGUAGUGAAAAUUAAGCAGGCAAUGUUAGGAGACUCGAAAGAAGGCUUUGGCCAGCCUGUGAUCCGCACAUUAUAUGAUCAUGUGCAGGUUCGUAUUUUACUGUUUAAAUUCUUGAGUCUCUCCUCAUCUUGUUUUGAAAUAGCUCCAUGUUAGGACUUCUUCUAUCCAUAGUUUGGUAGUUGCUUGAGAAUAAUAGCUAGCAGAGAAACAGCUCGGGGAAAAUAAGCAUACGAUAAUUAGAACAAGCUUCUCUGGUUACAGGCUGCACAUUCAAAAGGCAAGAUAAGCUUGUGAUUCCCCAAGCUGUUUCUCUGCUAGCUUUUUUAUCCUUAAUGGCAGGAACUCCGUGUCGAUGGCUGUUUUUUAGGGCCUCGGCAUUCUCACUCCAGAGAGCUACCAUAGUUAUAUUACACCCCAAAAAAGAUCGUCUUCACUAAACAAGAAAGCAAUUGUGUCUCACUCCAGAUGAUUAUUUAGUGUCUCUUUACAAACUCUCUGCUUCAUAUGUGGUGGUGGUGUCACUCUGCAACUGUCAAAUAGUCUAUCUCUGUUAACUACUUUCCUGAAUGGUACCCAAACCAAACAGAGCAUUUCCAUUUUUCUAGUUUAUUGUUGUGUUAUUCACCCAUGAGCAAUGUGAUGCCGAUACGGUAAUAACUAUUCAUUAUACUAUUGCUCGCUAGAUUAUUUUCAGCUCAGCAGGUGUCAUUCUCAAACUUCAUAUUCCAUGGGAAAUCAUUAAAUUUCAAGAUACUCAAAGAAGUUUAAUCGAUAUCAAUUCUGUUAUUAUUGUAGAACGACACAAGUAAAUGGGAGUAAACUCUAAAAGAAAAACCAGAGCAGUUUCAUGAGCAAAUAUGCCUAUGUAUAUUGAUUUUGGAGCAGGAAGUACCUAAAAGAAGUGUAACAUAGAGCUAACAAUGCAUUAAGUGGAAAGCACAAAAACAUAUGCAGGAAUCUUAUAGAGACACAUAAGUAGAAGUACCUUGGUGGCCGGGAACGCCGGCAAGGCUUAGUGCAGGAAUCCUCAUGGCGGACACGGCGGCCAGCCCCUAGUGGGUGGACCUGCUCCGUGCAGCCAUGGUCUGACUCCUAG
rnacentral:lncRNA from 1 species